GCAGGCUCACUCUGGGUCAGACCCUUUCCCUGGACUGGCACCUUUUAAAGUCUGCUAAAGGAAAACUCCAGAGUACCUGUGCAUUCUCUGUGUCCCAUCGAGAGGCGCAAGAGUCACAAGUUCUCUGGAACAGUU